GGGCUCAAUGGUGAGCAAUUGCCUUCAGUGCAAGGGGCCUGGGUUCAAGCCCCAGAACCA
rnacentral:tRNA from 1 species